CCUUAGUCCGACUGUCGUUUUAGGCUUUUAGGGUUGUCGUAUGAGAUUCUUCUGUAUAUAAAUCGAACCCUGAGAGAUUGACCGCCACCCUCAUUUGGCUGAAAGCUUGAAUUGGAGAAGAGAAAUCCCAUUGGGGCCGCUUGGGGGGCGAGAGAGAGAAAGCUGUUUGGGAAGUGAGAAAAUUUUACAGCUUUUAGAAAAGAAAAGAAAAGAAAAUGGAGAUGUUGAAGGUUCAAUUCUUUGUGAUGGCAGUUUUUGCCCUUGUUAUCUCUCUCCUUCUCCCUUCCAUCAAUGCUCAAAGCCUUGCUCCUGCUCCUGCCCCAACAAGUGAUGGGGUGGCUGUGGAUCAAGGAAUUGCUUAUGGGUUGAUGGUAUUGGCAUUGCUUCUCACCUACAUUAUUCACUGAUGAAUCUGGAUGAGCAUUUUUGGAGAAAUCAAGAUGGAUGAUUUUAUAGAGAGAGAGAGAGAGAGAGAGAGAGAGAGAGAGAGAGAUUAAUUCUUCAAGAAACAUGUGAAGGGAAUUGUUGUUGCAUCUUCUUCUUGCUAGGCUUUUGCUAGCUAGCUAAGCUAUGUUCUUGUUCAUUUGUUGCUACCAUUUUUAUCAAAAUCCCUAAUUCUUUCAAUAUCAAGAUUCACCAUUUUUCUUCUAUUA